rnacentral:rRNA from 1 species
GACGAACGCUGGCGGCGUGCUUAACACAUGCAAGUCGAACGGAAAGGCCCUGCUUUUGUGGGGUGCUCGAGUGGCGAACGGGUGAGUAACACGUGAGUAACCUGCCCUUGACUUUGGGAUAACUUCAGGAAGCUGGGGCUCAUACCGGCUAGGAGCUCCUGCUGCAUGGUGGGGGUUGGAAAGUUUCGGCGGUUGGGGAUGGACUCGCGGCUUAUCAGCUUGUUGGUGGGGUAGUGGCUUACCAAGGCUUUGACGGGUAGCCGGCCUGAUAGGGUGACCGGCCACAUUGGGAUUGAGAUGCGGCACAGACUCCUACGGGAGGCAGCAGUGGGGAAUAUUGCACAAUGGGCGGAAGCCUGAUGCAGCAACGCCGCGUGCGGGAUGACGGCCUUCGGGUUGUAAACCGCUUUCGCCUGUGACGAAGCGUGAGUGACGGUAAUGGGUAAAGAAGCACCGGCUAACUACGUG